CCUACGGGGGGCUGCAGUGAGGAAUAUUGCGCAAUGGGGGAAACCCUGACGCAGCAACGCCGCGUGAGUGAGGAAGGUUUUCGGACCGUAAAGCUCUGUCGAGCGGGAAGAAGUGCAUGGUGGCUAAUAUCCAUUAUGCUUGACGGUACCGCUAAAGGAAGCACCGGCUAACUCCGUGCCAGCAGCCGCGGUAAUACGGGGGGUGCUAGCGGGGGUCGAAAUCGUGUGGCGUAAUGGGCAUGUCGGCGGUGAAAGCCCUGGGCUUAACCUAGGAAGUGCAUUUGAAACUGUUCAGCUUGAGUAAGGGAGAGGAAAGUGGAAUUCCUGGUGUAGAGGUGAAAUUCGUAGAUAUCAGGAGGAACACCGGUGGCGAAGGCGACUUUCUGGCCCUAUACUGACGCUGAGACGCGAGAGCGUGGGUAGCAAACAGGAUUAGAUACCCCAGUAGUC
rnacentral:rRNA from 1 species